rfam:Schistosoma curassoni strain Dakar, Senegal genome assembly, scaffold: SCTD_scaffold0001231
AUCCAGCUGAAGAGUUCCAAACAGGACGAAACGCGGGUCAUACUGGAU